rnacentral:rRNA from 1 species
GUCGAGAAUCUUCCGCAAUGGGCGAAAGCCUGACGGAGCGACGCCGCGUGCAGGACGAAGGCCUUCGGGUUGUAAACUGCUGUCAAGGGUUAUGAAUGGCCGUGCGUGAACAGCGUACGGAGUGACGUAAGCCCUGAAGGAAGCACUGGCUAACUCUGUGCCAGCAGCCGCGGUAAUACAGAGAGUGCGAACGUUGUUCGGAAUCACUGGGCAUAAAGCGCACGUAGGCGGCACCAUAAGUGCGAGGUGAAAUCCCACGGCUUACCCGUGGAACUGCUUUGCAGACUGUGGUGCUAGAGGAUGGUAGGGGAGAGCGGAACUCUUGGUGGAGCGGUGAAAUGCGUAGAGAUCAAGAGGAACACCGGUGGCGAAGGCGGCUCUCUGGUCCAUAUCUGACGCUGAGGUGCGAAAGCUAGGGGAGCAAACGGGAUUAGAUACCCCAGUAGUCC